rnacentral:rRNA from 1 species
UACGGGGGGAGCAAGCGUUGUUCGGAUUUACUGGGCGUAAAGGGCGCGUAGGCGGCGCAACAAGUCACUUGUGAAAUCUCCGGGCUUAACCCGGAGCGGUCAAGUGAUACUGUCGUGCUAGAGUGCGGAAGGGGCUACUGGAAUUCUCGGUGUAGCGGUGAAAUGCGUAGAUAUCGAGAGGGAACACCUGCGGCGAAGGCGGGUAGCUGGGCCGACACU